GACGAACGCUGGCGGCGUGCUUAACACAUGCAAGUCGAGCGGUAAGGCCCUUUCGGGGGUACACGAGCGGCGAACGGGUGAGUAACACGUGGGUGACCUGCCUUCAGCUCUGGGAUAAGCCUGGGAAACUGGGUCUAAUACCGGAUAUGACCUUCUGCCGCAUGGUGGGGGUGGAAAGAUUUGUUUGGCUGGAGAUGGGCCCGCGGCCUAUCAGCUUGUUGGUGGGUGAUGGCCUACCAAGGCGA
rnacentral:rRNA from 1 species